CAAGGACAGGGCCUGUUGCGGCCAUUGAAAGGCAUUAUGCAAUGUGUGCUCCAGCUGCUUUAGUGCAUUAGCUCCUGAUAACUAGGUCAACAGCACACUUUACUAUGGGUCAACAGCACCCUUUACUAUAGGUCAACAGUACACUUUACUAUAGGUCAACAGUACACUAUACUAUAGGUCAACAGUACACUUUACUAUAGGUCAACAGUACACUAUACUAUAGGUCAACAGGCAACAUACCUGCAGAAACACACAAACACACACACACAUGAAUGGACUUUAAGGGAAGGAAAAAUAGAGAGGCAGACAAACAGGCAGAGAGAGUGAGAGAGAGAGAGACAGAGAGAGACACACACACAGAGAGAGAGAGAGAGAGAGACACAGCGAGA
ensembl:lncRNA